AACAGCCUUAUGCCACAGUUUACUUCUAGCUUGACAGCAAAUCCAAUGAAGUUCAGCAUCCCAACUACCAAUUUUUCUGUUAUAGCCCAGCCAACGACAUAUUCUAAGCCACAGUCGAUUAGUGACUGGGCAUUCAAAACACAGAUGAGCGUUAUAGCCCAACCAACGACAUAUUCUAAGCCACAGUCGAUUAAUGACUUGGCAUUCAAAAAACAGAUGAGCAAAUUCUUCAACCUGUUGGUCACAGAAUACACAUUUCUCAGCUACAUUCACUCCAAUAUUAAGUAAUCUGUCGACAGUAGGCAGUCGACCAUGAGCAACAAGCCAAGCAGUGAAUUUAUGCUGAGGCAGAACAUUAGAUGUCAACAGCAGAUUCUUCCAUUCCACCCUAGGAAAGAUAGGAAGCAUUAUAUGGUAUAGUUUCUGAAUAUGGAACCUGCCUAACCUGCACAGUCCAUCCAGUCUAAGCAGGAGAUCACCUUGCAGUUGUUGAUUAUUCAGAAGAGAAGAUCUGCUCUCUAUUAUCUUUCCAAUUACCCAAGAUGCUGCCUUGGGAAUGGGCAUUGUAGCAAUGUCACAGUUCUUAAUGUAAUAGUAGUGUAUCCACUUGAUCCAUAGACAAUCCUUCUUCCUAGCCAAAUCCCACAGGAGCUUAGUGAUAGCUGCCUUAUUCCAUAUAUGCAUGUUUAUAAUGUUGAGUCCUCCAGCAGUGACAGGUUUACAGAUCCUCUCCCAUGCUACCGGAGCUCUUUUAGAUAUUUUUGCACUCCCAGUCCAUAAAUAAGAUCUGCUGACAGCUUCAAUGAUUUUCAGAACUUUCUUUGGCAAGAUGAAUAUUUGUGCCCAAUAAGUUUGAAUCCCAAAUGUCACAGUUUUGAUUAAUUGACUCCUUCCUGCAUAAGAUAAUAAUUUGGCAGACCAGCAGGUGAUUUUAUCAGUUAUCCUCUCUAUCAAUGGCAGAUAAUGGUGGAUGGCAAGCUUCUUUGAGUGGAGAGGUAUCCCUAAGUAUUUGAAAGGCAUUUGGCCCUCAAUGAAUCCUAGAGACUCUAGUAUGGCUUCUUUGACAUUUUGAUGAACCCCAGCCAUAUAAAUAGCACUCUUAGUGUUGUUUGCAUACAAUCCAGAAGCUACAGAGAAUGUAUGGAAAGCAUCAUGCAGGAUCUGGAUAGAAAUAAUAUCUGCCCGACAGAAAAGGAGGAGAUCAUCAGCAAAACAAAUAUGGGCACAGUUCAGCUUCCUGCAUCUUGGAUGGAAGUUGAAAUCUCCAUUUCUGUGUAACUGAGCCAAUAGCCUAUUCAAGUAUUCCAUAGCCAGAAC
rnacentral:lncRNA from 1 species